CACACGGAGGCCCCGCCCCUGGAGGAAGGCCCGCCCUCUGCCCGCCCAGGAAGCGCUGGAGGCGGCGAGCCGAGCUCAGGAGCGGCGGUUUUCUUUUAUCCUGCGCGUUAGAAGCGGCAGCUGAAGCGAAGGAGACACUGAAAUAUACUUGUGCACUCUGGUAAGCCUCUGUUGAUCAAGGCUUGGUCCCUGGAGACGUAGACACUUUAAGUCUCUGCGCUUCACUGAAGCAGAGAUCGUGUCCAGCGUACCUCCCGCAAUUCUGGAUUUACUUCACAAUUACUAGGUUUGUUUCACCAAGAUAGUUCCAUAUGUGAAGUACUCAGCGUUUACUGGGUAAGCAGUGGAGGCGACUGCUGUCACUAAGUGGCGAUCCGUGGCGCCCGCCUCGCUGGAGAUCCUCCACGUGCAGUCGCUCAGUGCAGUGCACCCUCAGCUGGCUGGUGAUGGCGUUUGCACCGAGCCCAAAGCCACGAAGUCUCAGGUCUGUCCCCCGUCCCCUGUCGAAAGCCCCUUUUGAGCAGAAGCCUCUUUGCAUGAACAGCUGCGUUUGAACUGUUUCGAAACGGAAGGCUCGUUGCUAAGAGGAAACUCAGUCCUUGUUGCUCUGGGGUGUCUGGGCUGAGCUGACCUCAGAAGCUGCCACCCAUCGUCCUCAAGACUGAUUUCAACACAGACUCGAGGAUUCCACAGCUUCCACGAGGCCCCAGCACCCCUCAAUCAUCACCAACGGCUGCAGCAUAACAACUCGAACCCCUCCAACCCCAGUGGCUGAUCUUAAAGGAUUAAUCUCUCGCCUGACUCCUUCCCCGCGCUGACCGUGGCACCUGGCACCUGGCGCCCAACGUGGGGCUUGGAAUAUAAGCAUUCGGAGCGUUUUUCCAGUGGAAGGAGAAUCGGCAGUUCCCAGAAGACCGCUGCUACAGACGACCCGGAUGGUGAUACACCCAGGUGGAUCCCAGAAUGUUGUGUACGACACACCCAAGAGCAAGAUAGACAAAUUGCGCAGGAAGAUGCUUCGACUAACUAUGACCUCGAGGAUGAGAACAACGACCAGAAGGCCUCCUGCGACAAGAGAUGAAACUCUUCUGUUUUUGGCUCAACUGCUAAGCAUUAUUUGGGUUUUGCAUACAUUUUAUAUGCCUGUGCGGGCGGAUAAUUAUUGGGCAUUUGUACCUAAUCCUCCUUUGUUGCACCCUAUGUCAUGGGGCGACAACGAUGAUGUUACUGUUUAUGUAAAAAUACUCUUGUCUUAAGUUUUCCUUCUUCCACUCAUAUACAACCUAUCUCUAUUGUAUAUAAUUACACUGGAAUGUCUGCUUCAUUACCCCUAUGUUUUUCUAAAACAAAUAAGAAUUGUACAUUAAUAGAAAGAUACUCUGAUUGGGAUGGAAACUUUACUAAUGGAAUGCACUGGGGAGUAGAUAUGAUGUAUGUAUUUUGCGACAGUAGUGAAAUUAGAGUGGGAAAAGGCAAUCCCCCUGAGCAUAUUCCCGAAUGUAGACAAAAAUACCCAAGCAAAAGUGUGUAUGGACCCUCAUGGUGUUUGUGCCAUCAUAAUUAUACUACAUGUUACAAAGAUCUAUGUGACUGGGAUGAUUACAGAGAAACAACCUACAGGCCCUGAAAUUUAUUAUAUGGAAUAUGGACAAGGAAUAACAUCACCUUUUUUUAGCAUGCUGUGGAAGUUGGUUGCAGCUCUUGAUUAUACUGCUGUUGCAAAAGAAAAAGUUGUAUGGCAACAUACAGGGACACAGGAUGCUAUUUCUGUUAAUGGCACAGUAAAAAAUGUAACUAUUAUAGCUUGUGUUUCUGAACCAUAUGGUGUUACAAGUGGAGAACUUACUGUAAAUAAGAACAAUGAAUCUUACAAAAUUACUUGUAAAGAUUGCAUCUUAUCCAAUUGUGUUAAUGCUUCACAAAACCACUCAUCCAUAUUACUGGUCAAACAACCUCCAUUUGUAUUUUUACCUGUUAAUAUCACCACAGAGUGGUAUCAAGAUCCUUCUGUGAUUAUUUUGCAAAAAUUAACUAACCUUUUAAAUUGGGCCAAAUGAUUUGUGGGGAUGUUAAUGACUGGAAUUGCUGCACUUAUUACUGUAAUAGCCUCCACUGCAAUGUCUGCAAUAUCUCUUAUGGAAAGUGUGCAAACUGCAUCCUAUGUCAAUGAAUUAUCCCAUCAUGUUUCUUUGGUUUUGAAAAUACAGGAAAA